GAUGAACGCUGGCGGCGUGCCUAAUACAUGCAAGUCGAGCGAACGGACGAGAAGCUUGCUUUUCUGAUGUUAGCGGCUGACGGGUGAGUAACACGUGGAUAACCUACCUAUAAGACUUGGAUAACUUCGGGAAACCGGAUCUAAUACCGUAUAAUAUUUUGAACCGCAUGGUUCAAAAGUGAAAGACGGUCUUGCUGUCACUUAUAGAUGUAUCCGCUCUGCAUUAGCUAGUUGGUAAGGUAACGGCUUACCAAGGCAACGAUGCAUAGCCGACCUGUGAGGGUGAUCGGCAACACUGGAAAAGAGACACGGUACAGAGGCCAACGGGAGGGAGAAGUAGGGAAUCUUACGCAAUGGGGGAAAGCCUGAAGGAGCAACGACGAGUGAGUGAAGAAGGGCUUCGGAUAGUAAAACUCUGUUAUUAGGGAAGAACAUAUGUGGAAGAAACUGUGCACAACUUGACGGUAACUAAACAGAAAGCAACGGCUAACUACGUG
rnacentral:rRNA from 1 species